AACGAACGCUGGCGGCGUGCUUAACACAUGCAAGUCGAACGCGAAAGGGACUUCGGUCCUGAGUAAAGUGGCGCACGGGUGAGUAACGCGUAGAUAACCUGUCUUCAUGUCUGGAAUAAUACGCCGAAAGGGGUACUAAUACCGGAUAUUCUUGCUUUUCAUAAGUUAUGCAAGCAAAGGUGGCCUCUGCAUAUGCUACUGCAUGAAGAGGGGUCUGCGUACCAUUAGCUAGUAGGUGGGGUAAUGGCCUACCUAGGCGACGAUGGUUAGCGGGUCUGAGAGGAUGAUCCGCCACACUGGCACUGGAACACGGGCCAGACUCCUACGGGAGGCAGCAGUGAGGAAUAUUGCGCAAUGGGGGAAACCCUGACGCAGCGACGCCGCGUGAGUGAGGAAAGGCCUUCGGGUCGUAAAGCUCUGUCAAGAGGAAAGAAGUGUACAAUGGCUAAUACCUGUUAUAUUUGACGGUACCUCUAAAGGAAGCACCGGCUAACUCCGUGCCAGCAGCUGC
rnacentral:rRNA from 1 species